GUGAGCGGGAGGCCAGGGCACGGGCAAGGGGAGCUGCAGGGCCAUCAGAGGGACCCUAGUGUCUGAGCCAUGUCCUCUCGCAG
rnacentral:miRNA from 10 species